rnacentral:sRNA from 1 species
UCUCAUUCGUUCUAAGUGCUCGUAUCGGU